UACGGGAGGCAGCAGUGGGGAAUAUUGCACAAUGGGCGAAAGCCUGAUGCAGCUAUGCCGCGUGUAUGAAGAAGGCCUUAGGGUUGUAAAGUACUUUCAUCGGGGAGGAAAAACAAAACUAAUAAUUUUAUUUCUUGACGUUACCCGAAAAAGAAGCACCGGCUAACUCCGUGCCAGCAGCCGCGGUAAUACGGAGGGUGCUAGCGUUAAUCAGAAUUACUGGGCGUAAAGAGCACGUAGGUGGUUUUUUUAAGUUCAGAUGUGAAAUCCCUGGGCUUAACCUAGGAACUGCAUUUUGAAACUGAAAUACUAGAGUAUCGUAGAGGGAGGUAGAAUUCUAGGUGUAGCGGUGAAAUGCGUAGAUAUCUGGAGGAAUACCUGUGGCGAAAGCGGCCUCCUAAACGAAUACUGACACUGAGGUGCGGAAAGCGUGGGGAGCAAACAGGGAUUAGAUACC
rnacentral:rRNA from 1 species